ensembl:lncRNA
GCCCGACUCACUGUCUGGUAACACAAAUCAUACACAAAUACAGGUACUGCUGUUGUGCCCGACUCACUGUCUGGUAACACAAAUCAUACACAAAUACAGGCACUGUUGUUGUACUGAACUCACUGGUCUGGUAACACAAAUACAGCCACUGCCAACUUGAAAAGGUUUAAUCUAACUUGAUAUAUUAAUUGAUAUGUUCAUGUAAACAGACUAGUAUCUCUUAGUUUUUAUCUAUGACAUGUUUCGACUACUUCCUGCAUUCUUCUUCAGAGGGGUCAGCUCUGCACCGCUGUCUAAACUCACUGGUCUGGUAACACAAGUACAGGCACUGCUGUUGUGCUGAACUCAAUGGUCUGAUAAAUCACUUCCUCAUGAUGGCAAUUCUUAGAUGAUGUUAUCA